rnacentral:rRNA from 1 species
AACGAACGCUGGCGGCAUGCCUAACUCAUGCAAGUCGAACGAGACCUUCGGGUCUAGUGGCGCACGGGUGCGUAACGCGUGGGAACCUGCCCUUAGGUUCGGAAUAACUCCCCGAAAGGGGUGCUAAUACCGGAUAAUGUCUUCGGACCAAAGAUUUAUCGCCUUUGGAUGGGCCCGCGUUGGAUUAGCUAGUUGGUAGGGUAAAAGCCUACCAAGGCGACGAUCCAUAGCUGGUCUGAGAGGAUGAUCAGCCACACUGGGACUGAGACACGGCCCAGACUCCUACGGGAGGCAGCAGUGGGGAAUAUUGGACAAUGGGCGAAAGCCUGAUCCAGCAAUGCCGCGUGAGUGAUGAAGGCCUUAGGGUUGUAAAGCUCUUUUACCCGGGAUGAUAAUGACAGUACCGGGAGAAUAAGCGCCGGCUAACUCCGUG